GACGAACGCUGGCGGCGUGCCUAAUACAUGCAAGUCGAGCGCAGGAAACUGACGGCACUCUUCGGAGGGAAGGCAGCGGAAUGAGCGGCGGACGGGUGAGUAACACGUAAGGAACCUGCCUCAAGGAUUGGGAUAACUCCGAGAAAUCGGAGCUAAUACCGGAUAGUUCAUCGGACCGCCUGGUCCGUUGAUGAAAGUCGCUCCGGCGUCACAUUGAGAUGGCCUUGCGGUGCAUUAGCUAGUUGGUGGGGUAACGGCCCACCAAGGCGACGAUGCAUAGCCGACCUGAGAGGGUGAGCGGCCACACUGGGACUGAGACACGGCCCAGACUCCUACGGGAGGCAGCAGUAGGGAAUCUUCCACAAUGGACGAAAGUCUGAUGGAGCAACGCCGCGUGAGUGAUGAAGGUUUUCGGAUCGUAAAACUCUGUUGUAAGGGAAGAACACGUACGAGAGGAGAUGCUCGUACCUUGACGGUACCUUACGAGAAAGCCACGGCUAACUACGUGCCAGCCGCCGCUGUAAAAC
rnacentral:rRNA from 1 species